AGAUACUCGAGUGUAGAAAAAACAAAGGGCAAAUGAUACUUCCAGUUUUCUAUGAAGUUGAUCCUUUUCAUGUUCGACACCAAUUAGGAA
rnacentral:pre_miRNA from 1 species